rnacentral:lncRNA from 1 species
UUUACUUGUGCUUUCGAGAAAAACCGAAUACCGCCAGUGGACCCAAUACGAACAUGCCGCAAUACUACAGAAAUAUAAUCAGUUUAAUCACAUUACCUUUUUCUGAGACAUAUACUCUCAUCAUAUCACUUCUACUUAGCAAUAUCAUUUUCCCAAAUCAUGCGAAGGUCACUUAUCUAAUCACUUAGGAGGAAUCACUACACAUCCCAUGCUCUGCAUGACAUACACAUGUAUUGUUCUAUUCUUACAAUACAAACUCGACGGAUGAGACAUGUACACAUUCAUAACUACUACCGAAAUAACAAUCCGUUAGUUCUAUAAUCUUGGCAAGAACUAUGACCUCAUUCUGAGCAAAACAAUGCUCUUAGCUCUUUAAUUUACUUCACAUACUAAGAUUGCACUGAUCUCAAAUUCAAUGAUCUCGUUUCACCCAUUACUAAUUUCUCAAGCAAUUGCCAUAAUCGAAAGUCACAUCUGAUACCUUAAUAUGCCAAUAGGCUACCAAUUCGAACGCGGUACAAAAGGAAAACAAACUCUGGAAGGAAUUACUAAUCCCAUACACUACUACAGCUUUCCUUAGAAAAAAGGAAGCAAGGCAUACAAAAUAGUAUAUAGAAAACUAUUUUUAACAUCACACUGUUGCGGCGUGCAACCCGAUCCAGAUUACAUACUCGUGGCAGCGUGCCACCAGAUCCACACAUAUAUCUCACAUAAGGAGAUGCACAUUGAGCCAAUUUUGCUCAUUACAACAAAAUACCGAGUAUCGGUCAUAAGCAUGCUAAGUGUAUAAUAAUAUCUCUGAGGGACAUAUAGCGUAAUAAGCUACACAAUUCAAGCAUAACUGAGGUUCGAUGUACAAAUAUGAAUUUCAAGAGCCACUACGCUCAUAUAACGUCAUUCCUAUAGGGAUUCUUAACACAUAGCAAUUUCUCAAGUCGUCUCACAACUUACAUGGCGCAAUGUAACACUAUGAAAAAUAUCUGACAGUGAGACAUCAACGUUACUACUCCUCCAUAAGGACCACAUUACUAAAAUGCACACAUCUGGCCUUGUAUAGAGCCAUUAUUCACAUUAAAUCUAUCUAUCAGCUUCAAGCCGGUUCUGAUCAAACUGAGCUCGUCUGAUAACCUUUCUAAGGUCCAUAAUAAUUCCCAUUUUCCUCAUAACACACAAGCAAAACCAUCAUAAUCGAAGUAAUCCUCCCCAGUUCACAACACAAUAUGCGAAGUGCCAUCUAGUCAUGAAUCUUCAAUUUAACGAUACCAUCACAAACUUCAUACUUGGUUUACAUCAUUAAUCAAUCAAGCUAUCACAUGCCACAUUUAUAUAAUUUUCUCGUGGGACACACUCCCGCAACCUACCACACCAAUAUCUGAAGCGUACCUCCAAACCACCGGUCACCCUAAUGCUGAAGAGUGAUCAAGAAUCAUUAACCAGGAUGCAAAACCUUUUUACAAAACAUCGAUCUUAGGUGACGUUUAAAACAAUACCAAUUUACCAUAAAUAUUUAAACUCAUCUCCUGCUCAUCCGAGAGCAUGACAUCUUAUGAAAACUUUUCCUCCACUCAUGCUGUUCUCGGCCCAAUUUGCACAAUCAGAACUGAUAACAUGCAUCAAACUCGAUCCAAUAUAGCAUAUAAUCGUGCAAUCAACUUGUUUAAUAGCAAACUCCCCAACUUGGCUCAAAGACAUAGAUCAAAGCGCACUCAAUAAAUCAUAACGCAUGCCUUCUAUUGUUGCUGUAAUACCAUAGUGAGACUAAACUCACUCCUUAG